rnacentral:misc_RNA from 1 species
GAAAUGCGAUAAGUAAUGUGAAUUGCAGAAUUCAGUGAAUCAUCGAAUCUUUGAACGCACAUUGCGCCCGCCAGUAUUCUGGCGGGCAUGCCUGUUCGAGCGUCAUUUCAACCAUCAAGCCCCCGGGCUUGUGUUGGGGACCUGCGGCUGCCCGCAGGCCCUGAAAACCAGUGGCGGGCUCGCUGUCGCACCGGGCGUAGUAGAUUCAUCUCGCUCAGGGCGUGGCUGCGGGUUCCGGCCGUUAAAGAGCCUCUCGUAACCCAAGGUUGACCUCGGAUCAGGUAGGAAGACCCGCUGAACUUAA